rnacentral:rRNA from 1 species
GAUGAACGCUGGCGGCGUGCCUAAUACAUGCAAGUCGAGCGAACGGACGAUAAGCUUGCUUCUCUGAUGUUAGCGGCGGACGGGUGAGUAACACGUGGAUAACCUACCUAUAAGACUGGGAUAACUUCGGGAAACCGGAGCUAAUACCGGAUAAUAUUUUGAACCGCAUGGUUCAAAAGUGAAAGACGGUCUUGCUGUCACUUAUAGAUGGAUCCGCGCUGCAUUAGCUAGUUGGUAAGGUAACGGCUUACCAAGGCAACGAUGCAUAGCCGACCUGAGAGGGUGAUCGGCCACACUGGUACUGAGACACGGUCCAGACUCCUACGGGAGGCAGCAGUAGGGAAUCUUCCGCAAUGGGCGAAAGCCUGACGGAGCAACGCCGCGUGAGUGAUGAAGGUCUUCGGAUCGUAAAACUCUGUUAUUAGGGAAGAACAUAUGUGUAAGUAACUGUGCACAUCUUGACGGUACCUAAUCAGAAAGCCACGGCUAACUACGUG